UACGUAAGGUGCGAGCGUUGUCCGGAAUUACUGGGCGUAAAGAGCUCGUAGGUGGUUUGUCGCGUUGUUCGUGAAAACUCACAGCUUAACUGUGGGCGUGCGGGCGAUACGGGCAGACUGGAGUACUGCAGGGGGAGACUGGAAUUCCUGGUGUAGCGGUGGAAUGCGCAGAUAUCAGGAGGAACACCGGUGGCGAAGGCGGGUCUCUGGGCAGUAACUGACGCUGAGGAGCGAAAGCGUGGGGAGCGAACAGG
rnacentral:rRNA from 1 species